rnacentral:lncRNA from 1 species
CCAGGAUCCGCCAGGACUGGGAAGGGAGGCAGGAGGCUUCUCUGGGUAUAAAGCAGCUGAAAUGUGGAGUUUCCUCCCAGGAGCCGAGACCGUGUCCAUGGGCCCAGCGCCUGACGUGUCCUCCCUGGGAGCUUGCUGGACGCAUGACCAGGAUUCUGGGAGGGCAGAGGACAGACCACAGGCACCCAGGAUAACUCAGUACACAUGGGUUCUCAGCUUCCUGCUCACAGAGAAACCUCAGACAAGAAGCACGUCGCCCAUUUUUUCAUCAAGGCCAACCCCAGACCACGAGAACGCUUUCUCUGCGUCAGCCCCAGCACCCCAGCGCCCCUGCCUCCAGGCGCCCACGGCCUCCGCACUCCAGUGGCCCAGACCUGGCUGAGGCAGCUCCCGUGGUAGAUCAAGCCUCACAGGCGGCUGGAAGAGCCAGUUCUGGGCUAGGCCUGUGGGAACAGGCGUCUUGUUAGUCAGGGUUUCAGGAAUGCGGCCUUCGGAGCCUGAAGCGGGGAAUGGCGGCUCUGGGCCCUCAAGGGGCAGGCGGUGAGCCUGGGAGGCCAGGCUGGGCUGACCCAAGGGGAGAGGACCCUCUCCGCCCACUGCCGCUGGCCCUGGGCAGGUCUAGAGCCUGGGGGUCUCCAGAGGCACAAUCCCUUAUCUCCGGGAGAAGGCAGAGGGCAGAGGCAGGAAACAAAUCUCCUGUCAAAAUUCCUAAUUAAAAUACUAAGUAAGUGAUGGCUCCAGGCUCGGACACCGGACACUGAGAGAAUAAGGGAAAAUCAGCCCCGACAGCCAGAGCUAACAAGACGGUUAAUUACAGCCCAAGAAGAACGUUAACAGUAUUAAUUCUAACCACAAAGGAGGAAAAGAGAAGACCGCCCUUGCCCCAGUCCGGCCUGGCCCCUCCCACCCUUGCCCCAGUCCUGCCUGGCCCCUCCCACCCUUGCCCCAGUCCUGCCUGGCCCCUCCCACCCUUGCCCCAGUCCUGCCUGGCCCCUCCCACCCUUGCCCCAGUCCUGCCUGGCCCCUCCCACCCUUGCCCCAGCCCCUGCCUGGUCCUGCCCACCUCACCCCAGCACUUCCUAUGGGACUCACGCCUUUGUCUCGGGCUUUUGGUUUUCAAAAUAAAUUAUAAGUUUU